rnacentral:lncRNA from 1 species
AUGAUGACGGAGAUGCACCGAUUGCUGGCAUUUGGGGAGGCUUUUCUUUUCAGUCGCAAAGCACAGAUUCUGAUUCUGCCCCUUUUCCUGGGCAGUGGCGCCCCCUUCCCAUCAUCUUCGAGGCCUCUGCCCCUCUUGUCUGAGGGGAGACCUACCGUUCCGAGAGGCAGGUGCCUUUCUGGCAGGAAUUGCUGGCUACGAAGAGGGGAGGGGGCACACAAGCAAAGUCCCCACCGCGGUGUGGACUGCUUUCCUUCCUGGGGCCCUUCUCCUCUCUCUCCUCCCCCCUCAGGACAGCUCCCGCCACCUGCGGUCCAGGCUGGGGUCACCCGCUCACUUCCCAAGUCAGUCCGCUCCAUCACGGCCUCGCCACUGGCUCUUCCUUCUUUCCUCAUUCCUCACGCUCUCGCUCAUUCUUCAGUCCCAGUGGAUGUCCCCACUCUGUUUGAAUGUCCUCCUCAUUGGAGAGAAGUCCUCAUCACCCACUUUGCAAAUCCACCUGCGUUGACACCCAUCCUUGCUGGCUGCGCACCUGGCCAGGAUACGGUCUCUCUGCCCCAGCACCUCCCGGCACCCCUCCCCCGUUCUCUGUCUUCUGCCACCAGCCUUCCGCUCUCUACAUGUUGCUGCGAGAGACGAGCUGGGCUGCGCUAUCCCCAUGGAGGCUUUCCCAACCCUGUGCCCUCUCCGUGCUCUUCCAGCAAAGUCUCUUGGAAGUGCUGCCAACCUGCCCUCCUCUCCCCAGUUCCUGGCCUGCCCCGGUCCCUCCUCCUUCUCCCAUCAGCGUCCACGCUCAACACGGUGGAAGAGCUCUCAGGGCCACGGAGAACCUCUGGCCAUCCUGAGAGCAAAUCCUCAGUGCUCGGCUCGCCCUCCGGCGCAGCACCUUCGCUCACCACCUUUCUGGAAACAUCGUCCCCUUUUGCUCCCAGGAUGCUCGCCCUCCUUUCCUGGCCUCUGUCUCACUGGCUUCGUCCCAGGCUUUGCAGGCACCUCCUGACCCCAGCCUCUCAGAGCCCGCCCCUUCCCAUCCCAUCUCCCGGAGCCCCUCCCCCCGGCUGUGUGCACCUGGCGCCGUGA